rnacentral:rRNA from 1 species
AGUGAACGCUGGCGGUAGGCCUAACACAUGCAAGUCGAACGGCAGCACAGUAAGAGCUUGCUCUUACGGGUGGCGAGUGGCGGACGGGUGAGGAAUACAUCGGAAUCUACUUUUUCGUGGGGGAUAACGUAGGGAAACUUACGCUAAUACCGCAUACGACCUACGGGUGAAAGCAGGGGAUCUUCGGACCUUGCGCGAUUGAAUGAGCCGAUGUCGGAUUAGCUAGUUGGCGGGGUAAAGGCCCACCAAGGCGACGAUCCGUAGCUGGUCUGAGAGGAUGAACAAGCACAAUGGAACUGGAGCACGGUCCAGACCUCUACGGGGAGGAACAGUGGGGAAUAAUUGGCAAUGGGGGGAAACCCUGUCCAAGCAAUCCCGGGGGGUGGAAGAGGCCUUUGGGUUUGUAAACCCUUUUUGUGGGGAAGAAAAGCAGCAGGGUUAUACCCCGGUGGUCUGACGGGACCCAAAAGAUAAGGAACGGCUAACUUCGGG